rnacentral:rRNA from 1 species
GAUGAACGCUGGCGGCGUGCCUAAUACAUGCAAGUCGAACGAAACUUCUUUAUCACCGAGUGCCUGCACUCACCGAUAAAGAGUUGAGUGGCGAACGGGUGAGUAACACGUGGGCAACCUGCCCAAAAGAGGGGGAUAACACUUGGAAACAGGUGCUAAUACCGCAUAACCAUAGUUACCGCAUGGUAACUAUGUAAAGGGUGGCUAUACUACCGCUUUUGGAUGGGCCCGCGGCGCAUUAGCUAGUUGGUAGGGUAAAGGCUUUCCAAGGCAAUGAUGCGUAGCCGAAUUGAGAGGUUGAUCGGCCACAUUGGGACUGAGACACGGCCCAAACUCCUACGGGAGGCAGCAGUAGGGAAUCUUCCACAAUGGGCGAAAGCCUGAUGGAGCAACGCCGCGUGGGUGAAGAAGGUCUUCGGAUCGUAAAACCCUGUUGUUAGAGAAGAAAGUGCGUGAGAGUAACUGUUCACGUUUCGACGGUAUCUAACCAGAAAGCCACGGCUAACUACGUG